rnacentral:tRNA from 1 species
GGAGAGGUGCUGGAGUGGUUGAACAGGGUGGCCUGCUAAGCCAUUGCAGGGGGUUUCCUCUGCCGAGGGUUCGAAUCCCUCCCU